AGAAGCCCACCGUGGCUAUAACCGUUUAGUUCAUUUACAAUGCCAUUUGCGAAGACUUCACUGCACAGGGUGUAAUUUAACGGCAAUUGUCGCCCUUGAUGAAGCCGAACUGACGUAAUCAAGGCAGUUUCUUGUUGUCGAGCCAGGAAGCUCAAUCCCAACAACAUGAAACUACCUAAACCACGCACCAGCUGCGCGUGACGACGUUAUUCACCGGAGAAGACAAAAUAACAUUUCGCAAAACAACGUUGUGUUUUUCCAGAGCCAUUAAACAGGCUUCCUGCCUCUAUAACAGCCCGCAGAGCGCGCCAGUGAGGCCAGCACAUUGCAAGCCUGGUUGAAGUUGUAGCCCGUUAGCUCCCGGACCCGACUUUCCCUGUUAAGCUUCUUCAGUUUCAUCCUUCUGUUCUGAAACCAAAUCUUGACCUGUCUGUCUGUGAGGUUGAUACUCUUGCUGAUCUCCAGACGGCGCUCUCGAGUCAAGUACAUGUUGAACAAGAACUCCUUCUCAAGCUCAAGUGUCUGAUGCUUUGUACAAGGCCUCUUCAUUUCAUCAAGAAGCUUUCCUUAUGAAGCCAGAGCUUCAGGCUGUCGCAAUGUGAAUUAUUUGUAAUUCUCAUUUCUCUCCCAACAGUUGUAGAAUUUCUUCAGCUGGCUUUUCAGGUUUUCAUUGUUUAUUUUACAAUAGUGGUUUUGUGAAAAAUAAUGGUGGUCAAAUAAAUUAUAAUUAGCAUUUUCAAUUUAGGUUAUGUUUUCUUUUUUUAUACCUAUAUACUGGCAGAACAGGUAUGUUUAAUAUAAUAUAUUUAAAUUCUAAUUUAUGGUAUAGUCUGCUUUCAUCUAGUAAUUUUUGCACUUUAUGGACAAUAUUAAGGCUUUUAUUUUAUUCUUAGUGCAUUUUUAAACUGUCACACAUUUGAUGUGUAACGACGUCACACUAAUGUACUUUUUCAGAAACUUUGUGUGCGUGUUUUGUGUUUGUUCAGCUAUAAACUUCAAAGCCUACUUAAAACUAAGAAAGAUAAUUAAAAAAUAUUUCAUUGAAAUGUUAAAAUCAUUUUCCAAUGCCAUUUUUUUCUAAACAAGAUAUUAUUGUAAACUAUUUCCAAACUGUGAUUUAUUCAAUAAAAUAAUUGAAAGUAUGAUUUGUGCAUUAUUUAUUUUGUUUACUCUAUGACAGUACUCUCUUGAAAUACUUGUGAAUAAAAUUAAAUACUUAAACAGAUACUGAAAUACAUUUUUAUGGAGUUGGUAAGAAAGAUAUUACAUAUGCAUAUACAUGCUAUCCUGCCAUAGACUACUUGAAUAGGCCUAUUUCCAAUGAAAGCAACAAAUGUAAAAUUAGAAAUUAUUUGGUAGUUCUAAGAGUACAUCUCUUCCCUCGCUAAGGACGUGAGGAGAAGUUUGCGGCAUUGGUCGCUUUUGUGAACCGCCAGCACUCUGAAAUAUUGUUUCUACUUUGAAGUGGCUAGGCUUUAGCCGUCUUCCUUCACCAGACUGGUAUCUAUUCACUGGGCCUAAUGAAAAUUUAUGUUUGCUGCAUGUAACAACUCAGAGGCGAUUAUAAACCAGAGAGUGGUAAUCACAUCAGCUUUUUAUUAAAUUUUUAAUAUCACGAAAGACCACACAAAUAAGUGCUGAUCACCAAUAGAGAGUAUAUUUACAACAUUUCAUCACAUCCAUAGGAAAGGAACUAAGCUAUAUUGCUCUAAAACAAUAGGUAAUGGAGGCUACAAUGGAAGACAAUAUUUAUAUUUUAGGUUUUUUUUGUUGUUGUUGUUUUUUUGAGCUUGCGUUUUGUGUUUUUUUUCCCCCUGAUCAGCAAAUUAUACAGACA